rnacentral:lncRNA from 1 species
UCGAUUUAACCAAAUGCCAACAGUUCAAGUAGGUUUUCUUGUUUGGAGUCAUUUUAAUCGAGAAGGUUCCGUGCCGUAUCAAUAAUUCAAUAACCUUCUCUUUCGACUUCUGAACUUUCUUAGUCUCUAACUUUUCCAUAAACUCUUAGAAAGAUAAACGUGGUCGCUGGUAACAACAAUACUGAGCUACACAAAGAUUGAAAAUAGAGAAGAAAUGAAGACU